UGGGGAAUCUUGUGCAAUGGGGGCAACCCUGACACAGCCACGCCGCGUGCGGGAAGAAGGCCUUCGGGUCGUAAACCGCUUUCAGCAGGAACGAAAAUGACGGUACCUGCAGAAGAAGGAGCGGCCAACUACGUGCCAGCAGCCGCGGUGACACGUAGGCUCCAAGCGUUGUCCGGAUUUAUUGGGCGUAAAGAGCUCGUAGGCGGUUCAGCAAGUCGGGUGUGAAAACUGUGGGCUUAACCCACAGCCUGCACCCGAAACUGCUGUGACUAGAGUUUGGUAGGGGAGCGGGGAAUUCCUGGUGUAGCGGUGAAAUGCGCAGAUAUCAGGAGGAACACCGGUGGCGAAGGCGCCGCUCUGGGCCAAUACUGACGCUGAGGAGCGAAAGCGUGGGUAGCAA
rnacentral:rRNA from 1 species